CCCUUAGAUGUUCUGGGCUGCACGCGCGCUACACUGAUGCGCUCAACGAGUUUUAACCUUGCCUGGAAAGGUUGGGUAAUCUUUUUAAAACGCAUCGUGAUGGGGAUAGAUUAUUGCAAUUAUUAAUCUUGAACGAGGAAUUCCUAGUAAACGCAGAUCAUCAGUCUGCAUUGAUUACGUCCCUGCCCUUUGUACACACCGCCCGUCGCACCUACCGAUUGAAUGGUCCGGUGAAGCCUCGGGAAUGUGACCAGUUCGCUUCAUUGUGAGUUGGUUGCGUGAACUUGUCUAAACCUUAUCAUUUAGAGGAAGGUGAAGUCGUAACA
rnacentral:rRNA from 1 species